ACCACCGCCAUUCACCCUCACCCAACCCCUGCUGGCUUCCACUCACUCUGAGCCUGCCAAUCCACUCAUAUCAGCCAGCUGGCUUUCCACGGCUGGCUGGCAUGGUAUAAUGAAGUUUCUAUCUGGUGCAGGCAGUUUAUGCGAGGACCCAGGGUAAGCAGAGGAUUUCCAAGUUCAUUUAUAACACUGGCUGGAUGACUUUGUGUUAGCGUAAACCUUCAUCUACUACAUUUUUGUUCAAGUCCUGGGCACUAAUUGCUUCUCAAACAGAGCUAAGCAAAGCAUGUCUGUGCCGUGUGACAGCUGACGA